GGCUCGCGGCCCCUCCAGGCGUCUGUGAUUGGUCCGCGCGCGCGCGAGGGGAGCACGAGGCGCUCGCCCGCGGGGCGGGGGCUGAGCCUGAGGGGAACGCUGAGGGAAGCAACUGUAGCCUUGAAAGUCCUGGUUGUGACAUGUACUGUGGUACAACACCAGCUUCAGAUGUAGCUGCAACCCACAGAACAAUACACCAUGACGUCUGCUGUGGCCAGGCAUUAGACUAAUAGUUUUCUGCAUUAUGAAUUCCUUUGUGGAAGUGUAUCACUGGGAGCCAAACAAACCUGCUGCAAGGAAUAACAUUCCAGACCCACCUCUACUUCUGCCUGUGCAUCAUGGACAAAUUGCCUGCAUAAGGUGAAUGACGUUUCUGCAAACCAACCUGCCACUACACCUAGUGAAACUGCCAGAGGAGUAUGAACCUGCCAGCAGGAGCAGCAGGGCACAGAAGGGCUGCAGGUAAAAGUAUGCAGAGACUAUGUUCAGCUUUCGCUCAUACAGCCAGAAAUGCUUGUAGAGCACAGCAUCCAGUCACACCGCCUGUGAAUUGUAGAGGAAAGAGCUGUGUUAGUGUCAUUUGUAAUCAGCUGUUUCCUGGACACUUCCGACUUUAAGGCAAGCCCUUAAUAACCCAUCUCUCUCUCCUUUAACCCAUUUUAUGACACAGUACAAUUAAAGACCCCACAAGAUGAGUCACCACAGCUGUGCGCAAACCCUCCAAAGUGUCUGUAUAGUCUUCCCUGAACUGAGUGGACUGCACAGAGAGAUCCACCCACGUUCUAAAAUCAUACACAUCCUAGCAUGACACAAGGCCUUUCCCAAAGACGGCCAAAGUUACAAGUAUUAGGUUCAUUCUACACUUAAUUCUCUCCACAAAUGCCUUCACCACUGGGUAACACAGUGGCUGUGUAAAUCAAGGUCUUGAUCUUUAGGGCAGAGAGAGUUGGACUUGACAUCCUGAGCAGCCAAUAGUGGAUUCAGCUGACCCAACAGCACCUGUUUUAGUAUGAAACUUGUGCUUCUAUGUACAAAAACUUGUGCUUCUAGAUACAAAAACUCAAAAACUUAAUCCACAGUCGAGAAGAAACACAAAUACUACAGACCAAAGCAAUACACAGUUAUGUCAACUCUGAUGUUUCCAACCUGUUUGAAAAAAAUGGCUUAGAAAGCUGACAUACAUACAUACAAACAACCCAUUGUGCCCAGAAGUUUCCUAACAUUCUUUUAUUAAAAACCAAAGAGCCAAAGAUCGCCCUGAUGCUCUUCAUUGUUAUAAAGCAGACUCUGAAGUAUUAAGUGAAUUAUGUAUGAGUGAAGAACUCCAACUGAUGCAGAGUUUAAAACUAGGUUUACAGUUUCCUAUUUUAUUGGCAUGGAUGUAUUUCUAAACUUAAAAACCUUUCUGGCAAGUUAUCUCAAUUUCUUAUGACAAAAUUUCUCACAACACACAAAUAUUUACAACAUAUACAUAUUUUUUCAUUCUUUUACAACUGGUUCUUAAAAGACAAACAAUUCUUAGGUUACCACAGAACAAAAGCUGUGACUUAGUUGUUUUUAAUUUGAUAAAACUAUCAUAAGUUAAAGUGAAUAGAUUUUUCUUUAAAUUCCUUGUAGCAUUUUACAAGUGCAACAGAAAAAUAUGAAGAACCAAUUUAGGAUAGCUGCAGUUCAUUGGAUAAAUGUUGCCCGUCGUAAUCACAUUAUUUCACAGCAAAUUCUUGAAAAAAUAAGCACCAAUCAUUCUUGCAAAGAACAAUUUUAUCUAAAAGUAUUGAAAAGUGUUAAAUACAAGGUGUUUAAUUUACGUAACAAGCAAUAAAUACACCAUAUCCAAACUUUAUUCUGCAUACUGCUACCCUUGUACAUAUAAUGUACUAAAAAGUCAGCAAAUUGUCAACACCUUUUCAUAUUUUUUUUCUCUUUUUUUAAAGAAAUCAAUUUGACUUCCAACCAACGGUUUGCUACUAUAACAAAGGCCACAAACAGUACGUCUGGGACAGCUUACAGUGUUAAAACUGACAAACUCCAAGGGGGAAAAACCAUCUAGCAAAUAAAUUGGAAAGCUGUAGAUCAUUGCUGGUGAUGUUAACAUAUACUAGAAAACCUUAAUAUGCUGCUACUAUGAUUUUGUAAAUUGUUUAGUCAAAUAUUGUAAGAGCAAACUAACGCUCCUACUGAUCAAAAAUAAUUCUGUAGCCACACUGUAUUCUCAUUGUCCUGCA